UUUUUUUCUUCACAUUGGCUACGUUCAGACUGCAGGCAAAUGUGGCCCAGAUCCGAUUUUUCUGCCCAUAUGUGGCCUGUACCUGAUCUGUUAAAGACAGUUUGAACAGCACAAACCAAGGCCACUUUCAUAUGUGGUCCUAAAUCUGAU